GCAUAUCAAUAAGCGGAGGAAAAGAAACCAACCGGGAUUGCCUCAGUAACGGCGAGUGAAGCGGCAAAAGCUCAAAUUUGAAAUCUGGCUCCUUUGGGGCCCGAGUUGUAAUUUGCAGAGGAUGCUUCGGGGGCAGCUGCGGUCUAAGUGCCCUGGAACGGGCCGUCGCAGAGGGUGAGAAUCCCGUCUUCGGCCGGCCAGCUGCGCCCGUGAGAAGCUCCUUCGACGAGUCGAGUUGUUUGGGAAUGCAGCUCUAAAUGGGUGGUAAAUUUCAUCUAAAGCUAAAUAUGGGUCGGAGACCGAUAGCGCACAAGGAGACCGAUAGCGAACAAGUAGAGUGAUCGAAAGAUGAAAAGCACUUUGAAAAGAGAGUUAAACAGCAUGUGAAAUUGUUGAAAGGGAAGCGCUUGCGACCAGAGUCCGCCACCGGGGUUCAGCAGGUUUUCGGGCCUGUGCACUUCCCGGCGGUGGGGCCAGCGUCGGUUCGGGUGGCCGGUCAAAGGCCUCUGGAAUGUAUCGUCCUCCGGGACGUCUUAUAGCCAGGGGUGUCAUGCGGCCUACCCGGACCGAGGAACGCGCUCCGGCACGGACGCUGGCUUAAUGGUCGUCAGCGACCCGUCUUGAAACACGGACC
rnacentral:rRNA from 2 species